rnacentral:rRNA from 1 species
UACAGGGGGGGCAAGCGUUGUUCGGAAUUACUGGGCGUAAAGGGCUCGUAGGUGGCCAACUAAGUCAGACGUGAAAUCCCUCAGCUUAACCGGGGAACUGCAUCUGAUACUGGAUGGCUUGAGUUCGGGAGAGGGAUGCGGAAUUCCAGGUGUAGCGGUGAAAUGCGUAGAUAUCUGGAGGAACACCGAUGGCGAAGGCAGUGUUCUGGGCCAGUACUGACGCUGAGGAGCGAAAGCGUGGGGAGCAAACAGG